GACGAACGCUGGCGGCGUGCUUAACACAUGCAAGUCGAACGGAAAGGCCCUGCUUUUGUGGGGUGCUCGAGUGGCGAACGGGUGAGUAACACGUGAGUAACCUGCCCUUGACUUUGGGAUAACUUCAGGAAACUGGGGCUAAUACCGGAUAGGAGCUCCUGCUGCAUGGUGGGGGUUGGAAAGUUUCGGCGGUUGGGGAUGGACUCGCGGCUUAUCAGCUUGUUGGUGGGGUAGUGGCUUACCAAGGCUUUGACGGGUAGCCGGCCUGAGAGGGUGACCGGCCACAUUGGGACUGAGGGACGGCCCAGACUCCUACGGGAGGCAGCGGGGGGGAAUAUUGCACAAUGGGCGGAAGCCUGAUGCAGCAACGCCGCGUGCGGGAUGACGGCCUUCGGGGUGUAAACCGCUUUCGCCUGUGACGAAGCGGGAGUGACGGUAAUGGGUAAAGAAGCACCGGCUAACUACGUG
rnacentral:rRNA from 1 species